rnacentral:rRNA from 1 species
AUUGAACGCUGGCGGCAUGCCUUACACAUGCAAGUCGAACGGUAACAGGUCUUCGGAUGCUGACGAGUGGCGAACGGGUGAGUAAUACAUCGGAACGUGCCCGAUCGUGGGGGAUAACGGGGCGAAAGCUUUGCUAAUACCGCAUACGAUCUACGGAUGAAAGCAGGGGACCGCAAGGCCUUGCGCGGACGGAGCGGCCGAUGGCAGAUUAGGUAGUUGGUGGGAUAAAAGCUUACCAAGCCGACGAUCUGUAGCUGGUCUGAGAGGACGACCAGCCACACUGGGACUGAGACACGGCCCAGACUCCUACGGGAGGCAGCAGUGGGGAAUUUUGGACAAUGGGCGAAAGCCUGAUCCAGCCAUGCCGCGUGCAGGAUGAAGGCCUUCGGGUUGUAAACUGCUUUUGUACGGAACGAAAAGACUCUUUCUAAUAAAGAGGGUCCAUGACGGUACCGGAAGAAUAAGCACCGGCUAACUACGUG